GGAACGCUAGCGGUAUGCUUAACACAUGCAAGUCGGAUGGGAUCUUUUAGACACCCAUGGCAGACGGCUGAGUAACGCGUGGGAAUUUGCCCUUUGGUCGAGCAUAACCUGUCGAAAGAUAGGAUAAUUCUCGAUAGUCUCUUCGGAGUAAAAAUUUAUUGCCAAAGGAGAAGCCCGCGUUCGAUUAGCUUGUUGGUGAGGUAAUGGCUCACCAAGGCCUUGAUCGAUAGCUGGUCUGAGAGGAUGAUCAGCCAGACUGGGACUGAGACACGGCCCAGACUCCUACGGGAGGCAGCAGUGAGGAAUAUUGCACAAUGGGCGAAAGCCUGAUGCAGCAAUACCGCGUGCAGGAAGAAGGCCUUCGGGUUGUAAACUGCUUUUGUUUGUGAAGAUUAUGACGUUAACAAACGAAUAAGAACUUGCUAACUACGUGCCAGCAGCAGCGGUAAUACGUAGAGUUCAAGCGUUAUCCGGAUUUAUUGGGCGUAAAGCGCUCGCAGGCGGAUUGGUAAGUCGAAUAUUAAAUCCUCUAGCUCAACUAGAGGCAAGUGUUCGAAACUGCCUAUCUAGAGGUUGGUAGAGGCAAAUGGAAUUCUCGGUGUAGGGGUAAUAUCCGUAGAUAUCGAGAAGAACACCAAAGGCGAAGGCAAUUUGCUGGGCCACACCUGACGCUCAGGAGCGAAAGCGUGGGGAGCGAACGGGAUUAGAUACCCCGGUAGUCCACGCCGUAAACGAUGGAUACUAGGCAUUGGAGGCAUCGGUCUCCUCAGCGCCGAAGCUAACGCGUUGAGUAUCC
rnacentral:rRNA from 1 species